AGUAACAUAUUAAAAAAAAAUAAAAAUUUCUUUUUAUUUUCUUAAAUUUUCAUCGUAACUAGUAACAUUAUUUGAUUCAUCGCAAUUAUUCUAUUUUUUUUAAAUGAAAAUUGCUAAUGUACACCAUAUAUACAUAUGGAGUGUAAAAUUUACACCUCUGUAUUACGGGAUUUAAAAAAUUUCUUUGAAAAUAGAAUAAACUUCAAAUACCCUGUAUGUGGUUUCACACGUUUUUACUUUAGUACCACGAGAUACUAAAUCAAUGCACUUUAAACUGUAGGAUACUAAAGUGAGAAAGUACGAACCACAGGAUACUAAAUUAAUACAUUUUAAAUCACAGAGUAUUAAAGUAAAAAAAAUGCAAAAUCAUAGAAAUGGUAGUUGAAGUUUUUUCUUAAAACUAAGUAACAUCCAAAAAGAAGAACCAUGUUUACAAUGGUAAAUUUUAAACUUCCAGAUACAAGAGAGUAUGAUAUGCAUUCCUAUAUCGAGCUUUGAUCAUUUCCCAUAUAAAAAUUUAAACCAACUUGUUACUUCUAAUAAUUUUAUAAUUAUGAAAAUUAUAUUUAAGUAAACAUAUAAAGAUAAAAGACGCAUUUAAAUUUUCAAGUCAUAAUAUCAUUGAUUCACUGAAAUCAAAUAAAUUAAAAAAAUAAAUAAUAAAAUUAAAAUUUCGAAAAGGUCAGAUAGGUGAUUGAAAAUAAUUCACAGUUCAAAUAAAUGUGAUAUAUUUUUAUCAAAAAAUUAAAUAUUUGAAUAAAUAUGUAAUUUUUUUAAAAUUAAAUAAGGUAACUAAAGUUUCUCAAAAUAUCCGAUAUUCCAUAUCCGAUCCGGACCUUAUCCGAACCCUACUCGGACCCAAUAAAAAAUAGAUAGUAUAUGGGUUAAAAAAAUUAUCCGAUAAAGUUUCGUGUAUUGGUCCGGAAACUUUAUACCGAUAAUCAAUUUGAACCCCACCCGAACUUGACCUUUUAAUGAAUCGGAUCCCAAAGAGUUUUCAAAUCUAGACUUGAUUCAGACCUAAACCUAAACCCCAUACUGGACCCAGUGAAAUACCCGAUAGUUAAUAAAAGAUAUUUAAAGUUGAGAGAUCAAUUUCAAUAAGAAUUAUAAAUGAUAAAUGAAAGCUUUUUGUAUAUUUGCACCCUAGGAAAAUCUUAGUCACUUUAUUUACUCCUUUUUUAUUUUUUUAUUUUUUUUAUUUAUUUUAUCUUAGCCGUUCUGUUUAUUGUUUGAAUCGUUCAUUUGAACGAAUUUUAUUGAACUGAACGCAAUUUAUUAGAACGUGAGUUUUCCAUAGUGGGAGAUUUAUGGGUUAUCCAUAAAUUGUUUAAUAAUGUCUAUAAAAGAUAUAUGCAUACGGGUAUCUAUACCAGAUUUAAACACCACCUGUACCCGACUCCUACCCGGUCUUAAACGGAUAAUAUACAAAUAGUCACUAUCUAGAUCCACUCAAAAAGACCCAAUAAGUAUAUUAUUAACUUUGUACCUAGAUUCGAAUCUUAUCCGAAAUUAAAUGAAUAGAAUAUAUAUAUAUAUAUAAUCUUUUUUUUUAAGAGUACGGGUAGAGUAUAUCUACUAUUCACAUCCCACCGUCAACAGACACCUAUGUAUAGAUAAAUUUUAAAUAUUUUUUUAAACUACAGCGUUGGCGCCUUUUUGGGACAUUGAUCAUUUUUGUCGGGGUUAAUUACACCGGUAGUUCCCAACCUUUUCACCAAUUUUUACUUGAGUCCUCAAUCUUUUUCUUUUUGCAAUUGAGUUCCUAAUCUUUUAAUUUUAUUACAAUUAAGUCCCAACUGUUAAAAAAAGGAUUAAAAUUAACGAAAUUGCUACGUCAGUGCCUAUGUGGCAACAUUUUGCAUGUCAAUUAGGUCCCUAAACUUUGCACGUUUUUUAUUUUAGUCCCUAAAAAAAUUCAAAAUUUUAAAUUUAAAUUCAAAAAUAAUAUUAAAAUUAAAAUUUUAAACUA
rnacentral:lncRNA from 1 species